AGGCGUGCAGGUGUAUUAGCCAGGCUGCUUACCUUCGGGUAUCGCCGGCCGCCUUGGCGCGGCUUGGAAGGCGUCGGGACCUCCCUCGCGCCAGAUCCUCAAGUACCAGGAAGUGCAAGGUGGGUCUGUGAGUUGAUGCCUGUGGCCAAUUAAUACAGGUGAAAAAACAGGUGAUGUAAGAGGACAUGUGGAUGGCCUUGGGGACAAGGGGAAGAGAUGCUGCCGAGGAAACGAUCAGAUAAGAGAUGCAGGAAUUCCCAAUGGCUUAAUGGUCAGAAAUAGAAAUUUAUGAAGGACUAAUGGAUUAGACAUUUUAAAAGUGGUGGUGGAAAGUUUGUACUUUUAGACUUGCAAGAUUCUGUUAAUGUAGCUUUACAAUAGAGUCCUUUUUUCCUAUGUGGUUUAACUGGGAGGUCUGAUAGAUUGGUUUUACCCCUCCCUUUUAUUUGAUUCUCUGGUUAUUGUAAUCCAUCUGAAAAGGACCUCAGUCUUGAAUAAACAUUCUCCCUUCAUGCUCUGGAAGAUGGCUGAAUAAACCUGGGAAGAAAAUGGAUGAUGGUGCAGUUUGCAACAAAGGUAUCUAGAAAGCUCCAUGCAUUGAUGCCAGAGUUUUAUUAAACCUUACUGGUUCUUAGCACUUAGCA